CAGGGGGUAUUUUAUGUAAAAUAUUAGUUUUGGGGAUUAAUGAAAUGGCUUAUGCUUUUCCUCUGA
rnacentral:tRNA from 1 species